rnacentral:piRNA from 1 species
UAUGGCACUAGUCUCAUAUCAUUCUGGUC